UUCUAAAUUUAACAAUCACGCUCUAAUCUCUGCCUUCCUUUCAUUUUCCAGUGAGAAAUGUCUCUCAAGGGAUCAGAUGACUGGCUAGGACACAGCAACCUGCACCAAUCGAGCAGGAAAAAUAGCAGUUAAAAUGCGCCAACAUUUAUCCGCAAUAUGCAAUCCCACGCCCCCUAUACACACACCCAAAAAAGUCAUUUGUCUUCUGGGUUCUGAGCUGUUUCAAGAAUUCUGGCAAACGUAGCCAUCAAACAAACUUCUCACACAAUAUAAAUACUGUCUGUUCAAGAAAGGCUUCCAGUGUUUACAGUCCGUAAGUGAAGAGGGAAAAAAGCUGGUAUUUAACCAAGAGCGGUGCCCUUGAAAACAUCUCUGAACAAAGUGUUCAGCAAAACUUUGGCUGCAGAUCCACUGGUUUCUGGUCUUCCUCUCAGUCCCCUGCCAGGAGGAAUUCUCACAUGGCAUCCUUCUGUUGCUUUUUUUUUUUUCUUUAAAUUACCUAAUUAAAUUUUAGGAAGGAGCACCCGACUUGGGGCAGGGAGAGGGGAGAUCACACCAACUUCCUUUUGAAACAGGGAAGAUGAAAACAUCCCAUUUUUCGGAGCCCCCUCCUGACAGCCUGGGAGGAGGAUGAGCGUUAUGCAUUGUUAUCAGCGUGGUGUAAUUUGACUGUUGACAAAGUAUCGGUGGCAGUGAGAAUGAACGAGGUUAGGAGUGUGGCGGGCUGUAAUCAAGAGGAUGCUUAGCUGUGCAACACUGCAUCUUGAGCAGAUUUGAAUCAACAUUGCCUUAAGGGGAUACACACACCAAAAGGGGAAAAAAGUCCAUUCAUUUUUAGAGGAAAAACUGGAGUGGCACUUGAAGAGAGAUCUGACGUGCUUUAAUUGCUCUGCAGCUCUCCUAAUUAGAGACUUUCCAAUCCCUUCGCUGCUGUCACUGUGAGGGUGCACCGUCUUGCUGGACGCAGACGAAAAUUGCAAAUUGGCUUGAUCGGGAAGUUUUAUAUAAAGACUGAACUACAUUCCCUGAUGCCCUCCUACCAAAGGGUGCACAGCUAGAGAGUGGCGGCAGCCUCUUUGCUUUCCACCCUGGAUUUAAAUUUUCAAGCCUUAUUAAAAUAGUUUCAUUAUGACACUCAAUGUAACGCAAGCAGGUGGCACUGAUAUUUCCUUAAAUAGAUGGAAACUUCUCUUCAUAUCCCACAUCAUAUGAAAUAUUUCAAGUGGAAAAAAGCCAGCAAAAUUCUAUGUUGUAUAUAUAUUCUCAUAUUUCCAUCUAUAUCUUAAAGAAGUGAAGGAAGGACAGAUUUGUUUUUCAGAGAGCAUAUCACAUAUCCCAUUUUCUCAAGCUUAAAUCUAAACUAGCACCCCAGACUCCCCUUCGAGUCUCAAAGUCAUUAUACUGCUGUUUGGCCCCAGGUUGCCACCAAAUAUGACAUGAUAAUAAUUUGGGCUUCCCUUUUCAACUUCCCUUCUGUAGCCCUUGAACCAAUCUUAAUUCAUUAACAUAUUGAAUUUUUUCAAUUUUCCAUUUUCUUGCAAUAACAAUAUUAAUGCCAGGGUGAAAGCUUGAUUGGAGCUAAAUUACUUGUUACCUGCUGGCAUUUAUUUAUAUGGCAUUGAAUUAUAAAGCUUUGCUAUUGUCAUGCCUUGGACGAAUUGUUUAUGACGCCAGUAAUAGGAGUAAUUGUUAUUGUUGAAAUUACCUGUCAGCUACCCAUAGCAGUGGCCCUUGUCCCACUGACAAAUAGUGACAAGGGAGAGGCAUCCUCCCUGCGUCCCCCUGAUGGCUUCUCCUCUGAUAAUAAGAAGUGCAGGGCCUCUGAUAAUUUGCCUGUCACUGUUGAGUGCAGCUCAGAGAGAGUUGGCCAAAUUGUUGUCAUUCACUUUGACAAAGACAGCAAAGUGCCCCUGUGCAGACAGAGGAUUAUCAAAAUAAAUGAAAUCACUCACACCCCUUUGUUUGUUUGCCUCAAGAAUUGCCUGGCUUUGGAUGAGGCUGUGAAAUCAGUGUCCGGUGCUUAUGGAUAUACCUCUGUUCACUCUGGAAGGAGGAUGGAUGCCAGACAAGGACAGACAAGAUUCUGAAGGGUAGAAUCUGAAGCUGGUACUCUACAACGUCCAAGUGUUGCAUAAGAAGUACUUGUGAGUUGGACCCUUCAUCAUCUGAACCACACACACCAAAACAGAACAAUUCUAUCACAGGACCUGGAGCAGGAAAUGAGCAGCAGAAAGGAGGCUUGGAGACCUGAUCCCCAGGCUUCGUGCCUACAAGGUCAGCUUGUGUUCUUGCUUCUCUUUCCGUCAUCUUAAUAAGGCCCUUUCCCCCACUUCUAGACAUUGCUUACAACUUUUCUAAAACCAAAAUUAUACUGUCUUAAGACCCAACUAUUUACCUAUAACCUGCAACCACCCUUAAUACAAACUAGAGGGGAAAAGCCCUCAAUCUAAAGUGAUAUUGCCAUGUCAAAUAUGGAAACUCAUCUAAAAACGUGAAGGAAUGGUUUUGUUUUUGUUUUUAAUUUACCCAGUACUUUAAGUAAAUUGUAAAAAUGACUCCAGAAAAGCAAAGAAUACCUCUUAACCAGACUUAAAGAUAAUCAAAAACAAAAUCUUAACUUUUAAUCACUGGUUUGUUCUACAAAAAUAGAAAAUAAAAAUAAUGGUUUUCAGGGCUAGAGAGAUGGCUCGGGAAAUCAAGAGCAUGGCUAACUGCUCUUCCUGAGGGCCUGAGCUCAGUUUCCAGCAGCCACAUUAGGCAGCUUACUGCCUUAGGCAGCCUGUAACUCCAACUCCCAGUGACCCAACACGUGGGCACACAUGGGCUCCUACAUUCACAUGCUUAGACCCACAUACAGAUACAUAAUUGAAAAAUAAAUAUCCAGCAUUGUUACACUAUUCGUGUCAUACUGCCCUUUCCAUAGAAUAAGGAAGCCAUAGGACACACACAAGCACACAUACACUUUCAAAACUGAGUCUUCCAAAGCCUUUAUCUAGACACCUUGAUAUGACCUUAAAUAACACAUGGUAUUAAAGCAAACGAGAAGUCCAGUUCUGAGUCCCCUGUGCUCUCCUGCACAUAAGGCUGCUUGCUUUCUUUGAGCCAGAUUACUGAAGCAGAUAAUGCUACCACGUCAUAUUUUGUCUCUAGCAUUUGCUAUAUCAAAUAUCAGCUUCCCAGGCAGGUUUUGGUGCUGUGGUAUCUUGCUGUAAUCAAGCCUGAUUGUAAUAUGUACCUGAUGUUGUGCGACCUGCUUCUCCCCUCACACCUUAUUUCUUCUUGUGCCUACACUUCUUCAUACUCCUGAGUUUUCAGGUCAGCUAAGCUUGUUAUCUUCAUUAUUGGGAAAAGUAAGGCGAAGGGUUUUUCUGAAAAGUUGGUAGGUUUUUUUUUCUGGUUUUGGUUUUUGAUGUUUUUAAAUAAACGCUUCAGAUUCGGAGCGUGAUGCCAUAACCUUCUACUUUGCUUCAUUGGCUUGUUGUGACUGCACUACAAUAUUUUGAGGAUCUUAAUCUAGCUAACAUCACACUCUUUGUUGUCAAUAAACUUUGUAAAUCGCUCUACCCAUACCUGAUUAUUUAUGGCAAAAUCAACAGUUAUGAGUAUUUUCAAUGGAGUUUCCAAUGACCCAGAUUAAAAGACAAGUACCCUUGAUUCAUAGUCUGCUAAUUAAUACUAGAGGCAAUAGUGGCACUAUGUCUCAAGCCCAAACAUUUUCAUCUUGAACAAGCCCUUGGCAUUUGCAAUCACUUAAUUUACAUUUUCAAAAGGUCACUUGUGGUUCCAGUUGGAAUGGAUUGUAUAUUUUAUUUAUUUUGAAGUAGGCUAAUUUGCCUUAGCACAAACCAUGUUCCUUUCCAGUCAGUGGCAAAGCAUAAUCCCACCAAGAAUAGAUUAAAGCAUUUUGAGUAUCUUGUUAAACAACUAGAGGACUGCUUGCAUUUCUCCAACAUUUGACUUAGUAGAUGAGAAGAGCAAGCAGUAAGCUAUGUUGAUCAUCAGUCAGAUUUUUAUUUCCACUUUGCAGAAUGGAAUCCACAAUUUUACAAGAGUCAACAUGGCUUCUGAUGCUCUGGCACGAAGUGAUUAAAUGAGGUUGAGUCUCAUUUUAUAUGAUAAUAGUGUAUUUGUAAUCUCUACAGCAUAUCUGAUUUAACAAGUUUAUUCUCUGUUCAGAAUGUCUUCCUUAUUAGUGGAAGGGAAUACCCCUCCAUUCAACAUAGGGCUGGCUUAAUUGGGCUUGAGUGCAUUGUGUGUAAUUAGUCCCCUUUUCUAAUAUUUCACCUAUAAUUACAUAAGAAACAGUGUCUUAAAUUUCAUAAAGUUGGUGAAGGAAAGGCUUGAAAAAGCAUGAGCAUUCCAUGUCCACUAUCUCCCAGUCUCUACUAAGAGCCCGAUGAAAAGAGCUCAGCCAGUGUGAGUCUUUCAGGGAAGGAAUGCCUAGGGAAAUCUAGAAGCACAAAUUAUUCUCCCCAUUCUCCUAUCUUGCCUGACAAGUUAGUGGCAGAAUUGUUUGAGUCCAGUACAGCUGGCACAGGAGAUGCCAGAGAAAAGUCCCCAAGUGCAGUAUGCUCACACUCCCUGUGACUUUCCACCUUCAAGAUUUUGGAUGCUAAGAGAUUUUGGCCCAAAGUCUGACAGGUCUCCACCCUCCAUGGCUCCUUCUCCUAACAAUCAUGGCUCUGCUAGAUAAGUCUGUUCCAAACAGCAGGUGGUCCAGCAGAGGGAUUCAAGACAGGGAUCCAGAGAUAAAGCUGAGGAAGAAGGGAAAACUGGAUAGGGGCCAUGAGCAUACCAAGAGUCUGGAGACAUGCUGUGAGCGCUUGGGAGCACAGAGAGCAGAUAGCAGGUUCUAGGACACAGCGGAAUGUUGUCAUUGUAAGAGUCAGCCCCAUGCAGGUUGGAGAGUAAGAAGUCAAUGUGCUAGCCAUCCUCGUCCUCCUCUCUUCUUCCUCUUCCUCUUCCUCCUCCCCCUUCUCUUCCUCUUCCUCCUUCUCUGUCUUCUUCCUAAGCAGCGUCUCAUCUGCAGAAACCUGGGCCGAAAGCAGAUAGCCCUCUACAACCCUGAAGAGUAAAGAGAAUGGCCAUAUGGCUAGGAGGAAACAGAUCAAUAACUGCCACAGACAUCUUCUCUCCAGUCUUAAUUAAGCCUUUUGUGUGGAGAUAGCAUUCCAAAUAAACCCCCGUGUGAAUUCAGGAUAAGAAAAAACAAACAACAACAACAAAACUUUCAGUGCUUAAUAACUAGAGGCCAGCUUUCUCUAAAUCCUUGAAGUCACGUGUGAAAAGGGAUUGCAUCAUUGUCUGCAUUGGCAUGGCCCAUGGACAGAAGAGUAAGACACAAAUGGGAGGUUCAGGUUGACUAUGGAUUCCCUUGGCUUUGAAUCUGUGCUUUCUUUGUUGUUAGGGGAAGCAGUGCCUUAUGCUGGUUUCACUUCAGGCUUCUAAUCACUGUAUGGCUUGCUUCUUAGUAGCCUGAAAAGCAAUGUAAAGAUAUGACUUUAGUUUGUCCUCAUGUUCUUAUCCUUUAUUCUUCCUUCACCCCAGCUAAUACUAGUAUGGGAGCUCUGAAAAAAUACUAGUUCCACUGUGAAGGCCCACCAACACUUUUCUUGCUUCUACUUGGUGUAGCUCCAUCACUUGCCUGUUCAAAUGAACAGUGUGGCUGAAUGAAGUCUGCAUUGGUUGCUGCAAUAUGAGGAUUUUUUUAUACAUUGACACCACCACCCUGCACACACACACACACACACACACACACACACACACACACACACUCCUUUUGACCAGAUCCACAUCACUUGGAAAGAGAAAGGCCAAGAGGAAAUUAUUGCUGCUUUAGACAGCAGCAUAAAUUUUCUUCCUAUUUUUAACCUAGCUUUUAAUUUAAUAAGUUUUAUGACUCUUAUAUUAAGUACAUAUGUUUUACAAGACAUUGUGUCCCUUGAGUCACCCUGAAUUUGCUUUACUGUACCCGAGUUAAAUGAAUGAAUACUGGGCUUCUGAUUUCCUGUCACCCUGUAUUUGAUCCUCACAAUAUGCCCGUGUACACUUCACAAACACAGAGAGUGCCACUCAAAAGCCAUGUCGAGGUCAGCACAGACUGUAGUCGUAAAUGAAAUGAUCUAAUGAAAUGUCAUAAAUGAAUUGUAGUAUUUUACAGUUCAACUUUCUCUCCUACAGCUCUCAUGACAAACAAUUAAGGACACGGUAAAUACUGGAACUGGUACCCGGUCUUGACAAUUGUCAGUGAAGCAUAAACAAAUCCUUUAUACAUUUGUUCCAUUAGUCAACACAAAGGUAUCUCCCCACCCCAAGGAGAAAAAUACUAAAGAUUCAAAAGGACAACCAUGUCUCAUUGGAAAUGUAAAAUGUAACCAGUUUUCUUAUAUGACACAUUCUAUCAUCUGUUCACAGACAUUUGAAAAUUAGCAUGGUUUUAUUUGGAUGUAUAGAAGCUUUGCUAUCCCAACAAGAAGAUGUUUUAAGUAACUCAAUAGUAACUUAAGACAAAAAUGCUCAGCUGUUGCAGGAUAGAACAACACACCUACAAUAUUUGUGUAGAGGAGGCUUUCCUGGAUUGUAUGCAGUAGGGACUGGGAUCAGGACUAGCAAGACAGAGCUAUGGCUUGGUCUACAGUUGGGUUGUAACAAUCUAGCAUGGGUGAUGAAAAGCUUGUUGGUUUUUUUUUUUUUUAAUUAUGAAAGUGUAUCAGAUCUUUGGAAAAGAUAGGUGCCGUGGGUUAGGUUAAUAUUCAACUAGAAAAGAUAAUAGUUGUUUUAUAAUAUGCUUUAUAAGUUAGCUAAUUCAACUCUGGCUUUGAAAAAGUGGUUUUUCUACACAUGCCAAAGUUUACUAAAUCAAUAAGCUACUAAAAGAGCAUUUUGGGUCAGUGGAUUAAGACUGAAUCUAGCUCAAGAUAGGAAGACUCAUAUCGUUCCAGUUUCUGUGCCAGACCAUAGAACUCUGUAUACCUUUGUUUACUGACGGAUGAAAUCCAACUCAAGAAGCCAGCAAUUUCUUUUCUAUUCACUUUGUUGACUUUUGUCCCACUCCAGUGACUUUGAACAGCGUGGUCUCAAAGAAUAGCUAGUUACGUGUAGGACCUCCCUCGGAACUCCACACAGCAAUACAUUUUCAUUUCAUAGCCGUGUGUGGCUCCAGCAUUGAUCUGUUGCCUGUGAUUUUAUUGUUAGAGGAAACCAUCCAUUAUCUUCAAAAGGGAAUAAAAAAGAUCUCAGCCUUUCUACGUUUCGCUUCAGGACCGUUUCAUUUCAGGACGGGCAUGACCCAAAUAUUAGACCUGCAUGAAGCCGAUUUCAAUACCUCCUGACACCUUGUACACCAUUUGUAUUUAAGAGGCCUUUUGUUUGGAGCCUUUGGAAAGAAUGCUAGUCUUCAAUAUCUAGAAAGUCUCGGUUCGCUCAUCUAAGUUACAGCCACACUGCUGAGAAACACAGGAUGGGAUAGAAUGUUGGCAUCAGGCUCCACAAAAACCAGGGCUGGCCAUUUUAACCGUAGUAGAGAACUCCUGGUCACCUCCCAAGGGGCAAAUUGAUGUCAAGUUCUGCUGUCUGUCAGGAUUAAGUGCCUGUUUGCUUUUUCGCUAACAUGUGGUUUGAGAACAAAGCAGCUCAAAUCUCCUCAGUCCUAACAAAGCAUCUCAAAUUGCUGAGUAAAAUUCCUUAAUCCCCCAUCUUAAUCUGAAAACACCAGCAGCACAGUGGAACACUCUGCACUCUUUCUGUACUGUUCUCCACCCUACUCACCCCACCUUCACCAUCCCUGCUCAUCCACCCCUCCUCACCCUGACACUCCCAGUGCACAAUUCCACCGCGGAGUAUUAGCAAGCUGGAAAUUAGAUAAGCUGGUCCAAGAUCUGCCAGGCUGGUUCAUGAUAUAUGACAUAUGAUAUAUGAUAUAUAUAUCAUAUAUAUGCACUAUAUAUGCACAAUAUAUAUGCACUAUAUAUGUACUCUGUGUGUGUGUGUAUGUCUCUUAUGCUAUAGUUACUUCAUUUAAAGAUUGCACUAUAUAUGCACUAUAUAUAUAUAUGCACUAUAUAUGUACUCGUGGGUGUGUGUGUGUGUGUGUAUGACUCUUAUGCUAUAGUUACUUCAUUUAAAGAUUGAAAAGAAAAUAGAAAAAAA